AAACCCUAAACUGAACUUUUCCAUUUAGGUAGCAUUAGGGUUUUAAACCCUAAACUGAACUCUUUCCUUUAGUCAGCAUUAGGGUUUUAAACCCUAAACUGAACUUUUUCCUUCAGUCAGCAUUAGGGUUUUAAACCCUAAACUGAACUUUUUCCUUCAGUCAGCAUUAGGGUUUUAAACCUUAAACUGAACUCUUUCAUUUUAGUCAGCAUUAGGGUUUUAAACCUUAAAUUGAACUCUUUCAUUUUAGUCAGCAUUAGGGUUUUAAACCCUAAACUGAACCUUUUUCAUUUAAUCAGCAUUAGGGUUUUAAACCCUAAACUGAACCUUUUUCAUUUAAUCAGCAUUAGGGUUUUAAACCCUAAACUGAACUUUUCCCUAGUUGGUCAGUAUUAGAGUUUCAACUCUAAACUAAACUUCUCCCCAACUAGUCGGUAUUAGGGCUCCAACCCUGAACUGAGCAUUCAUAUCCUCUUUCAUCAAUUUUAUGAACUUCCUG
rnacentral:lncRNA from 1 species